UACGUAGGGGGCAAGCGUUGUCCGGAAUCAUUGGGCGUAAAGAGCGUGUAGGCGGCCCGGUAAGUCCGCUGUGAAAGUCCAGGGCUCAACCCUGGGAUGCCGGUGGAUACUGUCGGGCUCGAGUCCGGAAGAGGAGUGUGGAAUUCCUGGUGUAGCGGUGAAAUGCGCAGAUAUCAGGAGGAACACCAGUGGCGAAGGCGGCUCUGGCG
rnacentral:rRNA from 1 species